CAUAGAAUGAUCCGUCNRUCGAUCAACGAACCAAGUUACCCUGGGGAUAACAGCGCAAUCCACUUCAAGAGCUCCUAUCGACAAGUGGGUUAACGACCUCGAUGUUGGAUCAGGGUGUCCUAGUGGUGCAGCAGCUACUAAAGGUUCGUUUGUUCAACGAUUANNACCCU
rnacentral:rRNA from 1 species